CCUACGGGUGGCAGCAGUGGGGAAUAUUGGACAAUGGGGGCAACCCUGAUCCAGCCAUGUCGCGUGUGUGAAGAAGGCCCUCGGGUUGUAAAGCACUUUCAGUGAGGAAGAACGCCUGGUGGUUAAUACCCAUCAGGAAAGACAUCACUCACAGAAGAAGCACCGGCUAACUCCGUGCCAGCAGCCGCGGUAAUACGGAGGGUGCGAGCGUUAAUCGGAAUUACUGGGCGUAAAGCGCGCGUAGGUGGCUUGAUAAGCCGGUUGUGAAAGCCCCGGGCUCAACCUGGGAACGGCAUCCGGAACUGUCAAGCUAGAGUGCAGGAGAGGAAGGUAGAAUUCCCGGUGUAGCGGUGAAAUGCGUAGAGAUCGGGAGGAAUACCAGUGGCGAAGGCGGCCUUCUGGACUGACACUGACACUGAGGUGCGAAAGCGUGGGUAGCAAACAGGAUUAGAUACCCCUGUAGUC
rnacentral:rRNA from 1 species